UACGGGGGGAGCAAGCGUUGUUCGGAUUUACUGGGCGUAAAGGGCGCGUAGGCGGCCAGCACAAGUCAGUUGUGAAAUCUCCGAGCUUAACUCGGAAAGGUCAACUGAUACUGUGCGGCUAGAGUGCGGAAGGGGCAACUGGAAUUCUUGGUGUAGCGGUGAAAUGCGUAGAUAUCCGGAGGAACACCGGUGGCGAAGGCGGCUUCCUGGACCGACACUGACGCUGAGGCGCGAAAGCGUGGGGAGCAAACAGG
rnacentral:rRNA from 1 species